GACGAACGCUGGCGGCGUGCUUAACACAUGCAAGUCGAACGGUAAGGCCCUUCGGGGUACACGAGUGGCGAACGGGUGAGUAACACGUGGGUGAUCUGCCCUGCACUUCGGGAUAAGCCUGGGAAACUGGGUCUAAUACCGGAUAGGACCACUGCCUGCAUGGGUGGUGGUGGAAAGCUUUUGCGGUGUGGGAUGGGCCCGCGGCCUAUCAGCUUGUUGGUGGGGUGAUGGCCUACCAAGGCGACGACGGGUAGCCGGCCUGAGAGGGGGACCGGCCACACUGGGACUGCGAUACGGCCCAGACUCCUACGGGAGGCAGCAGUGGGGAAUAUUGCACAAUGGGCGCAAGCCUGCUGCAGCGACGCCGCGUGAGGGAUGACGGCCUUCGGGUUGUAAACCUCUUUCAGCACCGACGAAGCGCAAGUGACGGUAGGUGCAGAAGAAGGACCGGCCAACUACGUGCCAGCCGCCGCCGUAA
rnacentral:rRNA from 1 species